AUUGAACGCUGGCGGCAUGCUUUACACAUGCAAGUCGAACGGUAACAGGCCUUCGGGUGCUGACGAGUGGCGAACGGGUGAGUAAUGCAUCGGAACAUACCCAGUCGUGGGGGGAUAACGUAGCGAAAGUUACGCUAAUACCGCAUACGUCCUGAGGGAGAAAGCGGGGGAUCGCAAGACCUCGCGCGAUUGGAGUGGCCGAUGUCAGAUUAGCUAGUUGGUGGGGUAAAGGCCCACCAAGGCGACGAUCUGUAGCGGGUCUGAGAGGAUGAUCCGCCACACUGGGACCGAGACACGGCCCAGACUCCUACGGGAGGCAGCAGUGGGGAAUUUUGGACAAUGGGGGAAACCCUGAUCCAGCCAUGCCGCGUGCGGGAAGAA
rnacentral:rRNA from 1 species